rnacentral:lncRNA from 1 species
UGCCUGCCAUCACUCUAUCUGGACGGAAAUCAGCCUCCCGAGGGAGCUCGUCGUCGCCCCGUGCACUGCUUCCCGGAGUUCUUCACCGCGAGGCCUUCUUCGAGCCGUGGCGCGCCAAGGUCUUCGUCACCUCGCCUCCCUCGCCUCGCUGCGUCAUCGCCGCGGCAACAGCAGUAGUUCGCAAGCCCCGGCACCGCUCCUCCUCUGCGCGCCCGUCGCUGCUCCUCGAGCCCCUCUGCUCCACCCUGCACCGAGCGACAAGACACGCCGUCGUGCGUUGACCCAUCCUCUGCCUCGCUCUAAGGUCGCCUGAGCCUCACCUCCAGGACCCCGCGCCGCUGGAGAAAACCAGCGCCCGCCGUCGCCGGCGACCGAACCAUCACGCCGUCCCCUGGCCCUUGCCUUUUCCUUCUGUUUCUUCUCGCUGUCUCUCCUCUCUAAACUCUGUCGCUCUCUGCGUUUGUUCACGGGAGCAUGCCCCUGCACCGAGCCAUCCCCGACCUCCAUCUCGCUUCCCACGCCGCCGCCUUGCUCCGCCCUCGCCGUUGUCCCGCCGGUGAACAGCACCAGCAGGUCGUCCUCGCCGCCCCUCCUGUUCGUCUCGACCGCAAGUCCCGCGCCUGCUGGCUUCCUCUGCUUCGAGCGACAGGACGAGCGCCUCCCCGUCGUUGACCCGAUAUGGCUCUAGUGUGGAGAAGCGCCAAGGCCCAGCUCGCCCUUCAUCUCGCCUUCGCCCGUUGACCGCGGCCUAGCGUGCCCUUGCAGGCCUCCCUCUGCACCGACCCGGGCCAUGGCCCAUGGUGAGAAACCCCCCAGCGCCUCCUUUUUCCCCUUCUGUUGGGCCUGCUCCAGCCAGUUUCGGCCUGUUUAGGUUUUUUAUCGGUCCGGCAAAUUUGUCUAAUUAUCCAGUGAAUUACAGUUUGCAGAAAAACCCCUAGAGUUCAUGCAUUUAAUAACUCACAAGUGGUGCAUCAUAUGUAAAAAUUUAUAUAUGUAAAAUGCUUAGGAUUUCAUCUAGUUUCACAUUAUGCCACUUUCAUCCAUGUUUGAAAUGUUUAAAAUGUUGUUUGAUUAAAUUUGCUCAAAUAACAUACUAAAAUGAUUUAUUUCAUAACUAAUUAACCGUAGCUCCAAAUUUAAUAAACUUUAUAUGUAAAUGGGGUAGAAAAAUGCCUAGUUUAACAUGGUGCACUUUAUUUUGCUGUUUAACAACAUUCAAAUUGUGUUUAGGGAAGAACAGUAGCAAAUUCAAAAUAUGCAUAUGAGGAUUUUCCGGAAUUGUUGUUUGUUGUUCCGGCCUCAUUUAAACUUGCCUAAAUAGAUAGUUUACUUAUGCUUCACCUUUUUCCAUGUUUAACAACAUUUAAUAUUGUUGGGUACAUAACCGAGAGAGAACUAAAUGAUCGUAUGUGGUGUUUCGUCAAUAUGCAACGAGUUGCAUAUUGAGCUCCACUUAAUUUGUAGUAUUGUUUGUGCAUUUUGCUAUGCCAUGCCUCAUUAAAUCGGACAUGCAUCAUACUUGAUUGUGCAUCAUGCCAUGUUCAUGUGAUGGUUGUUUACUAUGUUGUUUGUUUCUUUCCGGGUUCCUUCUCUCGUUAGCUUCGGUUUCGUUCCGGAGUUGUGAGGAUUCGUUCGACUACGCCUGCUUGUCUUCUUCAUGGACUCGUUCUUCUUCCUAGCGGGAUCUCAGGCGAGAUGACCAUACCCUUGAAAUCACUUCUAUCUUUGCUUGCUAGUUGUUCGCUCUAUUGCUAUGCCGCGCUACCUACCACUUGCUAUAUCAUGCCUCCCAUAUUGCCAUGUCAAGUCUCUAGCCCACCUUUCCUAGCAAACCGUUGUUUGGCUAUGUUACUGCUUUUGCUCAGCCCCUCUUAUAGCGUCCUUAGUUGCAGGUGAAGAUGAAGUUUGUUCCUUGUUGGAACAUGGAUAUGUUGGGAUAUCACAACAUCUCUUAUUUAAAUUAAUGCAUCUAUAUACUUGGUAAACGGUGGAAGGCUCGGCCUUAUGCCUGGUGUUUUGUUCCACUCUUGCUGCCCUACUUUCCGUCGUACCGGUGUUAUGUUCCUUGAUUUUGCGUUCCUUACGCGGUUGGGUGAUUUAUGGGACCCCCUUGACAGUUCGCUUUGAAUAAAACUCCUCCAGCAAGGCCCAACCUUGGUUUUACCAUUUGCCUACCUAAGCCUUUUUCCCUUGGAUUCUGCAGACUCAAGGGUCAUCUUUAUUUUAAACCCCCGGGCCAGUGCUCCUCUGAGUGUUGGUCCAACCCGUCAGUCGCCGGUGGCCACCAGGGGCAACUCUAGGCUCGCCUAUCGGAAGCUUGGACAAUCCGGUGUGCCCUGAGAACGAGAUAUGUGCAGCUCCUAUCGGGAUUUGUCGGCACAUUCGGGCGGCUUUGUUGGUCUUGUUUUACCAUUGUCGAAAUGUCUUGUAAACCGGGAUUCCGAGACUGAUCGGGUCUUCCCAGGAGAAGGAAUAUCCUUCGUUGACCGUGAGAGCUUAUAAUGGGCUAAGUUGGGACACCCCUACAGGGUAUAAACUUUCGAGAGCCGUGCCCGCGGUUAUGAGGCAGAUGGGAAUUUGUUAAUGUCCGAUUGUAGAGAACUUGACACUUGACUUGUUUAAAAUACAUCAACCGUGUGUGUAACCGUGAUGGUCUCUUUUCAGCGGAGUCCGGGAAGUGAACACGGUUCGGGUUAUGCAUGAACGUAAGUAGUUUCAGGAUCACUUCUUGAUCAUUUCUAGCUUCGCGACCGUUGCGUUGCUCCUCUUCUCGCUCUUAUUUGCGUAUGUUAGCCACGAUAUAUGCUUAGUGCAUGCUGCAGCUCCACCUCAUUACCCCAUCUUUUCCUAUAAGCUUAAAUAGUCUUGAUCUCGCGGGUGUGAAAUUGCUGAGUCCUCGUGACUCACAGAUUCUACUAAAACAGUUGCAGGUGCCGAUGAGACCAGUGCAGGUGAUGCUACCGAACUCAAGUGGUAGUUCGACGAGGACCUUGGUCGUUACUAUGUUUCGUUUCCUGUUGAUCAGUAGUGGAGCCCAGUUGGGACGAUCAGGGAUCUAGCAUUUGGGGUUGUUUUCUUUUCUAUUGGUUCCGUAGUCGGACCUAUGUGUGUACUCUGAUUGAUGUAUGAUUUAUUUAUGUAUUGUGUGAAGUGGCAAUUGUAAGCCAACUCUUUAUCCCAUUCUUGUUCAUUACAUGGGAUUGUGUGAAGAUGACCCUUCUU